CACAGAGAGGCUCUGAGGAGGAGGC
rnacentral:piRNA from 1 species